GGGAUUGUAGUAUAGUGGUCAGUACUUCUCGUUGUGGUUUCAGUUCCUUUGUGGCAAACACAACGAUCCGAGAGGACCCCGGUUCGAUUCCGGGCAAUCCCA